UACGAAGGGGGCUAGCGUUGCUCGGAAUUACUGGGCGUAAAGGGCGCGUAGGCGGACAGUUAAGUCGGGGGUGAAAGCCCGGGGCUCAACCUCGGAAUUGCCUUCGAUACUGGCUGUCUUGAGUGCGGGAGAGGUGAGUGGAACUGCGAGUGUAGAGGUGAAAUUCGUAGAUAUUCGCAAGAACACCAGUGGCGAAGGCGGCUCACUGGCCCGGUACUGACGCUGAGGUGCGAAAGCGUGGGGAGCAAACAGG
rnacentral:rRNA from 1 species